rnacentral:misc_RNA from 1 species
GGAAGUAAAAGUCUAACAAGGUUUCCGUAGGUGAACCUGCGGAAGGAUCAUUAUCGAAAUACUUAUUUAGCGUUCCGUGCUAUCCCAUUGUUUUAUUUACCCUGUUGCUUCCACUGGAUGAGUUUCCAUACCUUGUGUUUGAGAAACUUUGGCUUGUGUAAGAUUCAUUCACGGCCAGCCGGUGAGAAGACCAUUUACAAAACCCUGUUAAGAACCAAUUGUCUGAAUAUUUUACUCCAAUGAAAUAAAACUUUCAACAACGGAUCUCUAGGCUCUU